ACAGCAGUCGCCGCGGUAAUACGUAGGUCCCGAGCGUUGUCCGGAUUUAUUGGGCGUAAAGCGAGCGCAGGCGGUUUCUUAAGUCCGAUGUGAAAGCCCCCGGCUCAACCGUGGAGGGUCAUUGGAAACUGUUAAACUUGAGUGCAGGAGAGAAAAGUGGAAUUCCUAGUGUAGCGGUGAAAUGCGUAGAGAUUAGGAGGAACACCAGUGGCGAAGGCGGCUUUUUGGCCUGUAACUGACACUAAGGCGCGAAAGCGUGGGGAGCGAACAGGAUUAGAUACCCGGGUAGUCCCUGUCUCUUAUAC
rnacentral:rRNA from 1 species